GACGUAGGGAGCGAGCGUUGUCCGGAAUUACUGGGCGUAAAGGGCGUGUAGGCGGGGCGAUGCAUCCGGGAGUUAAUUCCACGGCUCAACCGUGGAGUCAUCUCGGAGAUGAUCGCUCUUGAGGACAGAAGAGGAAAGCGGAAUUCCCGGUGUAGCGGUGAAAUGCGUAGAUACCGGGAGGAACACCAGUGGCGAAGGCGGCUUUCUGGUCUGGUCCUGACGCUGAGGCGCGAAAGCCAGGGGAGCAAACGGG
rnacentral:misc_RNA from 1 species